CCCUCCUACGGGGGGCAGCAGUGGGGAAUAUUGCACAAUGGGGGAAACCCUGAUGCAGCGACGCCGCGUGAGUGAAGAAGUAUUUCGGUAUGUAAAGCUCCAUCAGCAGGGAAGAAGCAAGACGGUACCUGACUAAGAAGCCCCGGCUAACUACGUGCCAGCAGCCGCGGUAAUACGUAGGGGGCAAGCGUUAUCCGGAUUUACUGGGUGUAAAGGGAGCGUAGACGGCUGUGCAAGUCUGAAGUGAAAGCCCGUGGCUCAACCGCGGAACUGCUUUGGAAACUGGAUAGCUUGAGUACUGGAGG
rnacentral:rRNA from 1 species